rnacentral:lncRNA from 1 species
GGCUUCCCUGUGCGUUAGGGGGAGAAGGCUUCUUUGUUCCCAAUGCAGCAGCUCACGUCCGCGGACCUUAGGCGGUCUGUUCCUGUCCCCCUUUGUAAAAGCAGCUUUAUCGCGAUGUCAUUUGCAUACCAUAAAAUUCGUCAAUUUCAAAUGUGCAGGAUAAUGAUUUUGGACUUGGGCAACUAUCCCCACAACUGGUUUUAGAGUAUUUCCGCCCCAUGCAGCGUCUCAUCUGUUUUCCGUCUCUGCGGAGCUGCUUUUUCUGGAAGGUUCACAUCCAUGCAGUCAGACGGGAUGUUGUCUUUGUAGCUGGCUUCUUUGAAAAAGCAGAAGGUUUUUAAAGUUCAUCCGUGUUGUAGCCUGAAUUGAUCUGCUUCUUUUCAUUGCUGAGCAGUGUUCCAGGGUGUAGCUAGCCCACACUUUGUUUAUGCACUUGCCAGCUUGCAAGCUUUGGGCCGUUUCCCCCUUUCUGGCUAUGACGAGUAAUGCUGCUGGGAACUCCGACGCACGUGUCUUCAUGUGGACACACGCUUUCGUGUCUCUUGCAUAGAUACUCAGGAGGGGAAACUGCUGGGGCAUGGGAAACGUUUAUGGUCUGACUUUGUUAGAAACGGCCCAACUGUCCUCCCAAGGGCCGGCACCUUUACGUUACAAUCAGCAAAUAUAUAAAGCACCCUGCUCUCCGCAUCGUCACCGUGGGUUCCCUUGUAUUUUCAGGCUUGCCCCAGACACGUUCUGAAGGCCAGCCACUUCCCCUGUCCCUGCUCUGGGCAUUGUCCCUUCACUGGACAGGAGAUGCAUUGAUCCGGGCACUUCGACUCCGCACAAGCAAGUUUAAAAUGGCCCUAGAAGCUAUAACUUCCCAACAGUCAUAUUUGUGCUCCCCUAACUAGUGGUGGAUUCUUUUUUAGUUAGUUUUUUUUCCUUGAUGGUAGAUAGUUUUCCUCCAGUAAAGAAGGGAGAAUAGCCAUGUUUCCCGGGUGUACAGAGUGAACUUAGACAUAUACGCUGUGCCGGGAGGAGGCUUUUGUGUCACAUGGCGCGUGGACACCGGAGUGCGUAGAAGCCAGUCCGUGUUCCUUUCAAAAUGCAGACGCUGAGCCAAGGAAAAGGUGAGCCGAAUCCUGUUGGGCGAGCUGGGAUGCGAUUGUGUGGUGGUGCAGAGGCCUAAAAAACAGCAGGGCAGGCGGGGGUGGGGGAGAGUGACCAAUGGGGUGGGAGGAGAGGGCAGGGUGGAAGAGGCCGGAGGGAAGCACUCUGCAAGCUGGCUGUGGCGCUGGGACCCUGGCUCCGAGUCUUUAGAACGGGAAGAGGCUUCCUCGAACCCCCUCCUCGACCCUCCCCAGGACUUGGUGUCCGAGUCAACCCUGUGGGCCUCGACAGCCUUGAGCCAGUGUGCGCAGCACCUCACCUAGAGCCUGGCCCUUGGGAGGCGGGGAUGGUGGAGAAGGGCCGCGGAGGAGCCGCAAGGCCGAAUUCUGGGCCAGGGGGAACACGCUGCCGAAUGUACAGCAGUGGUUCGCAAAAUUUUAUCUGCCCAAGAAUCACCUGGAGGCUCAGACAGCACCCCCAGAGUUUAUGAUCUGGGAGCCCAGGGCGGAGCCUGAGGAGGUGCUUACCUGGCAAGUCUCCAUGGGAUGCCUGUGCAGGUGCCGCUUUGAGAACCACGGGUACAGAGGGAGGAGCUGCUGGGGCCCAGGUCCACGUCAGAGAGAAGAGGGGGUGCCUUCUUGAGGCAAACUCCAUUUAAAAAGAUGAGGCAGGAGUUCCCAUUGUGGCUCAGUGGGUUCAGAACCUCACUCGUAUCCAUGAGGAUGCAGGGUCUGUCCCUGGCCUCGCUUGUGGGUUAAGGAUCUGGCACUGUCGCAAGCUGUGGUGUAGGUCACAGGCGUGGCUCAGAUCCCAAGUUGCUGUGGCAUAGGCUGGCAGCCGGAGCUCUGAUUGGACUCCUAGCCGCGGAACUUCCAUAGGCUACAGGUGUGGGCUUAGAAAGACAAAAUAAUAAUAAAAAAUAAAAAAAAUGAAAAGAUGAGAUGGACCUGGUCCCUGUCCUUGACAUGCCAGUCCAGCACCCUGAUUCUUGUUUUUAAUAUUAAAGUAUAUGUGGUUUAUAAUGUGUUAGUUGCAGGUGUACGGAAAAGUGAUUUGGUUACACAUGUGCGUGUGCGCGCGCGUGUGCCUGUGCGUGUGUAAUCUAUGUAUUUUCCUAUUCUUCCCAUUAUGUUUAUUGCAGGAUAUUGAAUAGUUUCCCUGUGCUCUCCACUGAGUCCUUGUUUAUGGGCUGAGAUUCGUGGGGGCUGGAGGGAAGAUUGGGAAGGGGCUUCAUGCUGUGUCUGUUUUAGAUCCUGCAGGGUGACCUUUGCAAACGCCACCUGCCCCUGCCAGGUGGGCUCCCCAUCUCCUCACACCUUCCUCCCCCAUGGCUUUGUCUCUUUUGUUUAUUGCUGUCUUUUCGGUAAUCAGAAGAGUACCUGGCCCUGAGUAGGUGCUCAAAAAAAUAUUUGUUGAAUAAACGAAUGAAGGUUGAGAAUUACCAUUUGUAUUUAUUUGCUAGGGUGGCUGUAUCAAAUUACCACAGACUGGGGGGCAUAAAUAGACAUUUAUUUUUUCGUGGUCGUGGAGCCUGGACGUCUAAGAUCAAGGUGCCAGUGCCUUUGGCUUUGCCUGAGGUCUCCCUGGAUGGGGCAUUGUCGCAGGCUGGGGUGUAAGUCGCAGGCGUGGCUUGCAGACGUGGCCUCCCCUCUGUCUGUGCGCCACUGAUGUCUCUUCCUCUUCUUAAAAGGACGCCAACCCUAUUGGAUUAGGGCCCCGUCCUUAUGACCUUAUUUCACUUUAAUUACAUCUUUCAAGGCCCCCUCUCCAAAUGCAGUCACAUGGGGGGAUGGGGCUGCAACAUAUGACUUUGUCAGGGGAGGGGCACAAUUUAGUCCAUGCCGCCGUGGACCACAGCUGCUGACUGGAGGGCUCUUGCUUCUCAGCGUGGGGCUCCAUGAGGGUUGAGGACACCCCCCCCCCCAAUCUAGCGGAUUCCUUUGUGCCUUUUACUGAAAGGCUGCCGAGAGACCUAGACUUGGGUCUUAAUGGGAAAAAAGGAAUAAAAGCACAGACAGACCCAGUCUGGGUGGGGAAGCAGGUAUUUUUGGAAUUCCAGAGCCGUUGCCCCUGGGCCUUGUGAUUCAUUGUGGUUCCGUGACUCUACAGCAUGAAACUGUGGGGUUGAUCCUCGGCUGCAUGUUGUUCAUGGCUCCAGAUCUUCCCAUGCUUCUAAAAUUUGCCAUUAGAGCUGAAGCAUCCCGGAGAGGCGUCCUGCCUGGAUGCCUCAGGAAGCGCCUGGAGAAGCAGGCAGUGGGGUCGACACCGCAGGGACUCCCCCAGCUCUGCCUUUGGGUGGCGAGAGGAAGUGUGGACUCGGUCGCUUGUGUCUUGAUUCUCACAGCGUCUCGGCCCCCUGGGCCUCGUCCCUGCACAUGGCGGGUUCUUAACAAACACCUUACACUGGAGGCCUCUGCUUUAUUUGCAAGUGUCAUGAAUGCGUUUGCUGUCACUGGUGUGGUGGCCGAUAUUUCCUGAAUUGCCUGGUCUCCCUCCCCUGUUCCUGCUCAGGCAGGAGCAUUAGUCCGUCUGGGAGUGGCAGGUGGGCUGGUGCUCUCUUCUCGGCCUGCACCUGCUUCCUCCCCGGCUCAGCAGGCUGGGACCUCCUGAGGCUAAGAGAGGAAGGAAGGAAGGCAGCUGGGGUGUGGGAGAACUUGGGGGCCACAUCCCUCUCCUGGGGUGGCUAUUUUCCGCAUGUGGCGGCGGCAGCAGGUGGCAGCCAGAAGCAGCUGGAUUGUACAGUUGCAGGAACCACGGAGAGAGGUGAUGCUGCCCUGCCAGGCGGUCCUCCCUCCCUGUCUGGCUUCUGGUUUUGUUCAGGCCCCGUCCUCCCCUCCCUGUCGGUUUUCGGUUUUGUUCUGCCUCUUCCUCUUUGUCCACUCUAGUCCACUCAUCCUAGUUUACGUGCUCCAUCUGCCCAAACUCGCUUUCCCCAGCACUCAGCUCACCUAUUUCCUUGCUCCUUGGGCUUUAAAGAGGCAGGCUGUGAUCACUGGGAGGGUCUUAAAGGUGUAACUUUGGGGGAUGGAUUGAGUACUGUGGUCAUAUUCUCCUGCUAGGGCUCCUGGAGCCAAGGGCCACCGACUAGGGGGCUUAGCUUAGAAGGGCACAAAAGGAUCACCUUUCAGUUCUGGAGGCUAGACAUCCGAAGUCGAGGCGUUGGCCUUUUCCUCUCCAUUCCUCUCCACGCGGCACACCUGCAGUCAAGGUGUGAAGGUGGUCCUGGUUGACGUGGAGAUGACCUUGAAGGCAGAUCCAAGAGAAAGUCGAUCAGAAGGAGGAACCCAUGGGUCUUGGAAUACAUACCUGGGAGUGGUAUGGGCUCUCAGGUCCUGGCGUGCGGACUGUUCCCUCCGGUGAGGACUGACCACGUGUUUCCCUUCCUGAACUGUGGGUGCCCGUUGCCACCCUCUAAGUCCACAGGGGGCCCUUGAUCUCUAGACAUGGCCUUGCCAGUUCAUCAGCUCCCAAUGGAUUUGUCUUUUAGCAGCAUCACUCCCAGUGGAAUUUGCCAUCACGGAAUUGCUUGAUGUGCUCCCUCGCGAGACAGGCUGCAUACGUCUCCUGGUCUGUGUUCUCACCUCCUGGAGGACCUCUGCCUUCCCUUGUGACUUGCUUUGGCUUUCUCUUCUAGCAAUAGCUGGCAGCAGAAUUCACCUACCCUGCACUCAGGUGGAGGCAUUGUACCUGGGGCCAAAUGACGGAGGUAUAAAAAGUUUAUAAAUCGAUGUCUCCUACUUCCAAAGAAAGGAAGUAAUUUGCCUCACUCACCAAGUAGUGAUGAGAAUCCCCAGAAGAAGGUGAGGGCCAGAUGGCCAGACUGGUUCAUUCAGUCGAUGUUGAUUCAUUCAGUCGAUGUCUACGAACGGCCCGGAGUUUUUCCCGUAGCAAAGCAGGUUAAGGAUCUGGUGCUGUCUCUGCAGUGGCUUGAGUUGCUGCUGAGGCAUGGGUUCGAUCCUCAGCCGGGCAUUAGUGGUGAGGCUCCAGCAUUGCUGCAGCUGUGGCACAGGUCGCAACUGUGACUUGGAU